rnacentral:rRNA from 1 species
AGGAUGAACGCUGGCGGCGUGCUUAACACAUGCAAGUCAUGGGGGCCCAGCAAUGGGCAACCGGCGAACGGGUGCGUAACACGUGAGCAACCUACCCAGGUGUGGGGGAUAGCCGUCCCAACGGACGGGUAAUACCGCAUACGCUCAACACGAGGCAUUUCGAGUUGAGGAAACCUUCGGGGCACCAUGAGGGGCUCGCGGCCUAUCAGCUAGUUGGCGAGGUAACGGCUCACCAAGGCUACGACGGGUAGCUGGUCUGAGAGGAUGACCAGCCACAUUGGGACUGAGAAACGGCCCAGACUCCUACGGGAGGCAGCAGUGGGGAAUCUUGCGCAAUGGCCUAACGGCUGACGCAGCGACGCCGCGUGAGGAUGGCGCUCUUCGGAGUGUAAACCUCUUUUGCCUGGAGCGAACUAUCAGCUUCAGCUGAUUGACGUACCGGUGAAUAAGCACCGGCUAACUCCGCGCCAGCAGCCGCGUAA